rnacentral:lncRNA from 1 species
UGUCUUUCCUCAGUGGUCUUGGCCGGGUUUGACCCCGAAGUAAAGUUCGAAGGAUUCUUCAUCGAGGCCUACGGCGCCUCGGAACAGCCCAUCGGGACCUUCGUUACCGCUCCCAUGAAGCUCGACUGCGGAGGACCUGCGACUGCAGCUUACUCCGCAGACAGUACUGAGAAGGUAGUCCAGAUGCUGAGUUGGAAGUCCCCAGAAAAUAUGAAGGGAACUGUUACUUUCAGGGGAACUGUGAUCAUGAAUAACGAAAUUUUCUGGGUUAAUGUGGUGUCCAAAAAGGUGAUGCUGGUCUAAUGAUGCUUGGAGAAUUGAAAUAGCUUUGAAAUGCAACUUUUUCUAUAUGCUUUUUUAACAUUUUAUUUGGAUUAUAUUAUAUAUUAUUCUGACUUGAUUAACUACUCUUAUUUUUUCUAUAUUCAUAUCAACAUAUAAAGAGAAGACUUAAAAUCAGAGUGUAUUUAAUAUUUAUUGAUAAUAAAAUCUUCAAAUAUUGGA